rnacentral:rRNA from 1 species
AGCGAACGCUGGCGGCGUGCCUAACACAUGCAAGUCGAACGUGAAAAGGGAAACCUGAGUAAAGUGGCGUACGGGUGAGUAACGCGUAGGUAAUCUACCCCAGAAUCUGGAAUAACCUGCCGAAAGGCGGGCUAAUACUGGAUAGAGCGAGGGAACUCGUAAGAGAGUUUUUCGGGAAAGGGAGCCCGCAAGGGCCUUCGUUCUGGGAUGAGCCUGCGUCUCAUUAGCUAGUUGGUAAGGUAACGGCUUACCAAGGCGAUGAUGAGUAGCUGGUCGGAGAGGAUGAUCAGCCACACUGGAACUGAAACACGGUCCAGACGCCUACGGGAGGCAGCAGUGGGGAAUCUUGCGCAAUGGACGAAAUUCUGACGCAGCCACGCCGCGUGAGUGAAGAAGGCCUUCGGGUUGUAAAGCUCUGUCGGAUGGGACGAACAUCUCCAUAGUGAAUAGCUAUGAGGACUGACGGUACCAUCAAAGGAAGCACCGGCUAACUCCGUG